ensembl:lncRNA
CUUGUUGUCCUGGAGAUGUUUUGAACAGGCAUGCCAGUUUCAAGGCCCUCGGUCAGGACUCGAGUGUGAGACACUGCUUCAGAGACUAAAAGGGAAAGUUGCAAGAGCUUUUUACAAUGUAUAAUGUACUGCACAACUAAAUUGCCCAAACAAGUUCUAGCUUUUGUGAGGGAAAAUAACCUUGAAAUGACGGGUACAUGAAUUGAUCCUGGCAAAAACAUAAAAAUGGCACCCAAGCAAAAUACACAAAUAAGACCAUUCAAAGCUCACGGCAGAAAAGAUGGCACAGGUGUGGAAGGUCGUCGAAUUCAAAGAUAGGAGCACUACCAUAGUGCCAAGCAGCUGGUUGGAGGAGGCAGGGGAGUCAUGGAAUUGUUUCUGGCCUCCUAGUUCUUACGAUCAUAACCGCCUCCAGAAGGCAGUCGCGCACCACCUUCCUCCAGGUGCAGCGUGGGACGUGCACGGUGACGUGAGGGUCUUGGUUAGCUGUGGCCAAACUCACGCUACCUGCAGGAGCCAGCUGGAAGAGUCCAGACCACUACGGGCCCGCCGCAACACUUUUUUGAAGGUGUGGACACUGAUGACGAGGCACCACCCCCCCCAAGAAAAACAGCACGACAAUCUGUAGAUGUAGGGCCAGGUAGGUAAAAAUAUGUUGCAUGUGUUUACUGGUUAAUGCCAGUACAAAUGGUACUUUGAAGCACCAUUUGAAACAACACCAUGUUUAACACAUAUGUUAGAAAUACCAUUUGGCUCUCUUAUUCAGUUUUGAAGUGUUUCAUUUUUUUCAGACAUCAAUAGUGAGUGGCUAUUUGGGCCAUCGACCACCCAAAGAGGUAAUUUUACUUUAAAUAAUUGUUCCUCAUACAUAGUUUUCCCCAUCUUCCCCGUUGAUCAUUGCUUCAAACCAACACGUUUUUUUUGACACAUUUCAUUGUUGGUCUGACUGGAUGAAGGACUACCCAACUGCAUACAAAGCCAUUCCUCUUGUGCAGUAAAGAAACACACACACACACACACACACACACACACACACACACACACACACACACACACACACACACACACACACACACACACACACACACACACACACACACACACACACACACACACACACACGGCAUCCCAGGACCAAGCCAAACUUCCUCGAUAUCAGGCUAACUGAUUGUUGAACAAGUAAAACUUAAAAUAUUGUAACUUACACACAAUAACAUGACUUUUU